GACGAACGCUGGCGGCGUGCUUAACACAUGCAAGUCGAACGGUAAGGCCCUUCGGGGUACACGAGUGGCGAACGGGUGAGUAACGCGUGAGUAACCUGCCCUUGACUCUGGGAUAACAGAUGGAAACGUCUGCUAAUACCGGAUAUACAGCCUUGCUGGCAUCAGCGGGGUUGAAAAGUUCCGGCGGUCAAGGAUGGACUCGCGUCCUAUCAGCUUGUUGGUGAGGUAAUGGCUCACCAAGGCGACGACGGGUAGCCGGCCUGAGAGGGCGACCGGCCACAUUGGGACUGAGAUACGGCCCAAACUCCUACGGGUGGCAG
rnacentral:rRNA from 1 species